AACAAAACGUUAACUAGGAAGUAGUAAUUCAAAAGAGUGAUUCAGUGAGAUAUUGGUUGGUGCGAAAUAGCAUAAGCUCUUUUAAAUGAACGUCACCUAGAAGUUGUAUGCGAUCAAAACCAUACUGGGUGCUCCCAUUACAGAGCCAACGAUUCGAAGCUGGAUUGUGAGAGAUGUUAUCUUUUUGAUAGCAUAAAUAAGGUGGUACCGCGCAUAAGCGUCCUUUAG
rnacentral:ncRNA from 1 species